AUUGCUCACUCCGGCAAUACAUAUAUAGAAAGUGGAACGAGGCAGAGAAGAUUGGCAUGGCCCCGUGCAAGGAUUACACGCAAAUCUGUGAGGUUCCAUAAAAUGUG
ensembl:snRNA U6 U6 spliceosomal RNA